rnacentral:misc_RNA from 1 species
GAAUUAACUCCAUGGAUUGGCUUGGUCAGUCAGGAUACAUAAAAGAAACAGUUUAUUGGCCGACACUUUCUUCAGCUAUUUCAGAGGUUGUCUUCUCCAAGGGUGCAAAGGUUCAAAUACUGGUCGCAAAGUGGGCUCAUUUUAUAAACAAUACUGACCAGUAUCUGAAGUCCCUUCUUUACUCCAACACCCUAUGCUCUUCUUCAAAGUACAACCACUGUUCUGGUAAAGUUGAGAUCAAAUAUUACAUUGUUCCAGGAUACAAUUCAACUGGACCUGCAGUACUU